rnacentral:lncRNA from 1 species
UACGAGGAACCCUAAUCACCUUCCCUUUCUUGUUGACCCAAACACGAACCCUGUCAAUCCUAUAGUCCUUAGUAACUGGAGUUCCCUCAAGUAAUACGAUUGCAUGAACACAAGGAUUCUCUUUCUCUAUAAUAGCAGCAGCAACCUCCCCGUUUUUACCAACCAGCUCUGGCCAUGAGCUCUUGCCUGUGAAGGAUUUCAUAAGAAAAUUAAACUUUGUUCAGAAAUGAUCAAAAUCUCCAAUUUGUUUCAAUAAUGAAAUUAAAAAAAAGGAAAAGCAUGGCGUUUUAUACUUACGUGGACAAUCAAAUGCAGACGUGACUAGGUUUGGUCCAUCUUCCACAACUCCUUUCAAUGCAGAUACGAUGACUUCAGAGCCAAGCUCCUUGCCAUCGGUCAGGCAAGGCUCGUGACGAGCGGCCAAAGAGGGUUUUGCGGCGAAGGC